AAAAUGGCGACACGUGGUUAGCAUUCGUCGCCAACGAGAAAUUGGGGUCGGCCCGAAAGCUCUAGAAUGCACCCCUCUUCCUCCCCGGGGCCUUCCACCUCCGCGAGUUUUAUGACUUAAAAAAGCCCACAGGCUGGUCUGAAGAGGAAGACAAACAUAAAGAUGAAGUGCUUAAUUCAAGGUCACACAAUGUCGGGGAUGGACCUCCAGAUUUCCUUACUGACCUGCAUUAUCUUGUGGAUACCUGAGUGAAUUCCACACCACCCAUUUUAUAGAUGAAACCACUGAGACAUGGAGCAAUUGACUGAGUAGUCACUGCCCCACCCCUGCCUGGAGCCUCACACAUGACUCGCCUCCUCUCAGUGACCACAGGUUGGUUGAGGGGUUUAACAAGGCUAAGAAGAGACGGAGUCUUGCUAUGUUGCCCAGGCUGGUCUUGAACUCCUCACCUCAAGCGAUCCUCCCGUCUUGGCCUCCCAAGUGUCAGGAUUACGGGCAUGUGCUAUCACACCCAACCUGAUACAUUGCCUUUAUAAAUUUUUUUUUCUUUAUUCUAAAAACCAGAAAAAACAAAACUG
rnacentral:lncRNA from 1 species